rnacentral:rRNA from 1 species
UACGUAGGGGGCAAGCGUUGUCCGGAAUCAUUGGGCGUAAAGAGCGCGUAGGCGGCCCUGUAAGUCCGCUGUGAAAGUCAAGGGCUCAACCCUUGGAUGCCGGUGGAUACUGCAGGGCUAGAGUCCGGAAGAGGCGAGUGGAAUUCCUGGUGUAGCGGUGAAAUGCGCAGAUAUCAGGAGGAACACCGGUGGCGAAGGCGGCAUUCUGGACCGAUAUUGACGCUGAGGAGCGAAAGCCAGGGGAGCAAACGGG